UUUUCUGAAGGUUAAUUGGCUUUUUCUCUUUUUGUUUUUUUCCUCCACAGAAUUACCAUCUAACACAAGGCCACUUUUCAAGAUGAAGGAGGGAUUGAACUGUCACACCAGUGUAAUCAAUUAAAUGACGGAGGAAGGAGGCAUUUGCUACCUGACCUUAAUCUCCUGGGCAAGAAUGACUGAAUGGGGAAGGCUGAAUACACUUUAAAUCACAAUGGAGAGGUCUACAAUAUUUCUGAAACUUCUUCAGGAGCAGAACUGAAUGAACUUUGGAGCUGCUUGGGCUCUGAUAGAAUUAGUCCUUCUUAGCAGCCGAAUCCAUUUGGCUGUUUCUAUUUGUGGAGUCAAUUGUGAGACAUCCAUUUAUCAUAGCUGUGGAAAACUAGCAGAAGGUCCAGAGGAAAGCCAUGGAAACAAUGAAGAACCAGGAAAAUGGAUUUCAGCCAUGUAUCCAGGAGAGCUUCAAGAACUUGGCUUUAUGGAGGAAAGCUGUGAGAGGUAG
rnacentral:lncRNA from 1 species